rnacentral:rRNA from 1 species
CAUAUUGGACAAUUGGGGUAACCCUGAUCCAGCCAUGCCGCGUGUGUGAACAAUGUAUUUGGAUUGUAAAGCACUUUAAGUUGGGAGGAAGGGGGUGAAGCUAAUACCUUCAAUCUUUGACGUUCACAACAGAAUAAGCACCGGCUAACUCUGUUCCCGCAGCCGCGGUAAUACAGAGGGUGCAAGAGUUAAUCGGAAUUACUGGGAGUAAAGCGCUCGUAGGUGGUUCAGUAAGAUGGAAGUGAAAUCCCCGGGCUUAACCUGGGAACUGCUUUCAUAACUGCUGAGCUGGAGUACGGUAGAGGGUAGUGGAAUUUCCUGUGUAGCGGUGAAAUGCGUAGAUAUAGGAAGGAACACCAGUGGCGAAGGCGACUACCUGGACUGAUACUGACACUGAGGUGCGAAAGCGUGGGGAGCAAACA